rnacentral:rRNA from 1 species
UACGGAGGGUGCUAGCGUUGUUCGGAAUCACUGGGCGUAAAGGGCGUGUAGGCGGUCUGUUAAGUCUGGUGUGAAAUCCCCCCGCUCAACGGGGGAACGGCGCCGGAUACUGGCAGACUCGAGUACCGGAGAGGAAGGUGGAAUUCCCGGUGUAGCGGUGAAAUGCGUAGAUAUCGUAAGGAAGACCAGUGGCGAAGGCGGGUCUCUGGACAGUUCCUGACGCUGAGGCACGAAGGUCAGGGGAGCAAACGGG